UGGGAUAUAGCUCAGUCAAUAGAGUGCUUGCCUCCCAUGCACAAGGCCCUGGGUUCAAUCCCCAGCAUUUCAA
rnacentral:tRNA from 1 species